CAAAUACAACUUAAGACAAGUGGAAUGAUAUAUAUAUAUCCUUGGACCAUUCAUUUAAUCUUGGCAAUUGUUGGCUACAUUGUAUUCCCUUUGCAAGCAGGACCUGUAUAGGCUUACCUUUAACUAAGCACUUACUCCUACAUUACUUCUAUCUUAAAUUCUUUUUAAUUUCUUUUACUUUAAUUUUUCUCAUAAGUUGCUCCUAUUUUAGUUAAAAUCUUAAUUUUCUUAACUCAGGAUAUACCUUCUGAAUGACUAGAUAUCUCACUUUUUUAAAGCAAAGCUCCUGUAAGGCAUACUCUAAGGUCAAGUCAUAUCACUUUGAAGACCCUAAGAGUAAUUGUGAAAAAGUAAUGAUUAUUCUACAGAAACUACUUGCUAUCACUUCCCUAUCAGAGCCUCAUGCUCAGUGCAGUGAAAGGUACCUACUCAAACAGAAGGCACUAUGGCAGUCUAGUGUCUUGCAGGUUUACUAUCAUUGACUAGGAAACAAAAGUAAUGAUAAUUUCCUACCCAAACUUUAAGUAUUUUUAAAAAGCUUUGAUUGUAUAAAACUCAAAUUACCAUGAGAUUCUAUUUUCAUUGCUUUAUUUAAUAUUCUGUUGCUUAUCUAUGAGACUUUGAUCAAGAGGCAGAGAUGCCUGCCAAGCAAUAUAUUUUCUUGAACUUUACCCAGUACUGUGCAUCAGCAGAUUUUGAUCUAUUUACUUACUGCUUAUUGAGUACAAAACACUCGCUCGCAGUGAGAGACUUCUCCAGGGUCAAGCACUUCAGGAUAGUUACACCAUCUGGAGAUGGUGGACAGCAAGCAGAACUGAAGGCACGCCUCACCCACUUUUGGUGAUCAGCUCCCCUUGCUGUUGGCCAGCACCGGGUGAUUGUUGGAGCUACUGUAACUGUCCAGGAGACAGAUGCGUGGCAGACAUGGGGAGUCCGUGAAGACGCCACAGGAAAGGACCACUGAAAAUCUCACCAGAAGCUCAGCUGGCACAGACCCUGCCUUUGGACUUUGCUGUUCACAACAUCCAACCAGGAGACUGGGUCCUAGUUAAGGAGUGGAAAGAAGCAACAGUGGUGGCAAACUGGCGUGGACGGUUCCAAGUGUUGCUGACCACAGAAACAGCCGUCAAGACAGCUGAACAUGGGUGGACACAUCACACUUGGGUCAGGGUCUCUAAAGCCCUGGAGAUUUGGACAUCUCAGCUGGAGGUGGACAGGAGGCCACGACUGACACUCCGAAGGUGUAGACCAGAGCAGUAGCCAAUGCAUCAGCAUCAGUAGAGGCCCUGUGUGCCUACCCACAGGUAGUCUGCUGAAAUAGUCUUUUUGUGCAUCCCUCCUUUUGGAUCUUCAGUCAUUGGGGAGCUAAUCCUUGCUGUCAUUGUUUCCUUUGUUGUUUCUGUGCCUUCACUCACCACAGGAGGUGCGGAAGACAAUGUGCGAAUUAGAUUAGGUGAUUAGAAUACACCAUUAGAAUGUUUUUCUUAAUAAUCUUACCAUUACA